GAAUUUUGGACAAUGGGCGAAAGCCUGAUCCAGCAAUGCCGCGUGCUGGAUGAAGGCCUUCGGGUUGUAAACUGCUUUUGUACGGAACGAAAAGCUGUUGGUUAAUACCCUGGAGUCAUUACGUUACCGUAAGAAUAGUCACCGGCGACCUCCGUUCCUGCAGCCGCGGUCAUACGGAGGGUGCAAGCGUUAAUCGGCAUUACUGGGCGUAAAGCGUGCGCAGGCGGUUUUGUAAGACAGAGGAGGAAUCCCCGGGCUCAACCUGGGAACUGCCUUUGUGACUGCAAGGCUAGAGUACGGCAGAGGGGGGUGGAAUUCCGCGUGUAGCAGUGAAAUGCGUAGAUAUGCGGAGGAACACCGAUGGCGAAGGCAACCCCCUGGGCCUGUACUGACGCUCAUGCACGAAAGCGUGGGGAGCAAACAGG
rnacentral:rRNA from 1 species